GACGAACGCUGGCGGCGUGCUUAACACAUGCAAGUCGAACGGUGACGAGGAGCUUGCUCCUCCGAUCAGUGGCGAACGGGUGAGUAACACGUGAGUAACCUGCCCCAGACUCUGGAAUAACAGUUGGAAACAGCUGCUAAUACCGGAUACGAGACGGAGAGGCAUCUCUACCGUCUGGAAAGUUUUUCGGUCUGGGAUGGACUCGCGGCCUAUCAGUUUGUUGGUGAGGUAAUGGCUCACCAAGGCGACGACGGGUAGCCGGCCUGAGAGGGCGACCGGCCACACUGGGACUGAGACACGGCCCAGACUCCUACGGGAGGCAGCAGUGGGGAAUAUUGCACAAUGGGCGAAAGCCUGAUGCAGCAACGCCGCGUGAGGGAUGACGGCCUCGGUUGUAACC
rnacentral:rRNA from 1 species